AACGAACGCUGGCGGCAUGCCUAACACAUGCAAGUCGAACGAGACCUUCGGGUCUAGUGGCGCACGGGUGCGUAACGCGUGGGAACCUGCCCUUAGGUUCGGAAUAACUCCCCGAAAGGGGUGCUAAUACCGGAUAAUGUCUUCGGACCAAAGAUUUAUCGCCUUUGGAUGGGCCCGCGUUGGAUUAGCUAGUUGGUAGGGUAAAAGCCUACCAAGGCGACGAUCCAUAGCUGGUCUGAGAGGAUGAUCAGCCACACUGGGACUGAGACACGGCCCAGACUCCUAGGGGAGGCAGCAGUGGAGAAUAUUGGACAAGGGGCGAAAGCAUGAUCCAGCAAUGACGAGUGAGUGAUGAAGGCCUUAGGGUUGUAAAGCUAUUUUAACCGGGAUGAUAAUGACAGUACCGGGAGAAUAAGCACCGGCUAACUCCGUG
rnacentral:rRNA from 1 species